AGCCUGUCAAGGGCAUAGUCCUUUGUGGCUGAUGCUUACAGCUGAUCAGAACCCAGGACACUAGCACUUACUAUCAAGGUUAUAGGGAGGCUGAUGCUUACAGCUGAUCAGAACCCAGGACACUAGCACUUACUAUCAAGGUUAUAGGGAGGCUGAUGCUUACAGCUGAUCAGAAUCCAGGACACUAGCACUCACUAUCAAGGUUAUAGGGAGGUGGCAGAGAAAAGAAGUUCAGCGAGAGUGGUGCCUCUUUUCAAAAUGGUAUGACAGUCCCUAGGUUCUCUGGCUCCUGUUUCUGGAUUCAGUGCUGUGAGGGCCUCUCACCAUCAUGUGGUCUGUGUGAACCAACCAUCAGGGCAGUUUAGGUACUGCAGGGUGUUGGGGCCCCA
ensembl:lncRNA novel transcript